rnacentral:lncRNA from 1 species
CUCAGGGAGAAGUCAGUUUAAUUUAUGAGCCCCCAUUGCUUCUUCAAAGGAAAUAUAUACCCUCUUGCAAAAUAAAAAAGGGGAUGGAGGAUAAAAGCAGCAGCUGAGGAUUCUUGGAGUGCAGGAGAAUCCUCAGCUGCCAUGGAAAUAAUGAGGACAGCACCAGCUGUUCCCAGUCGGUCCCACACUCUUUGGGGGCACUGUUGAAAGCCAGCUGGUGCACACUGCUCAGGUGAUGCUGUUGGUGAGGUACAAAUGGUGUGUGCUCAAACCACUAAGGAAAGGUUUAAAAUGUGUUUAAAGAUCAUCAUGGCAAUGUGGAACAGCUUCUUUUCUGCUUCACUCGGUUACGUUUUGUAAAGCAUACUCUGGAAUCAUGAAUAUGUGCCCGUGCUUGGUGCAGGAUAUGGGCUGGACCUUUUUCCUGCCUGAUUGCCAGAGAAAAGUUGCCAUCACAGGCAGCUGCAGACUGGACCGCAGGCAAGACAGGGCUGCAGACUGGCUGCAGUGUCAGAACAGAUUUCUAGUCUUCUAAGAUGGAAAGACAAGGAAAAUGAAACACUUCAUAUCGAUCUGUGAGUAUAAAGGCAUCUUUAUAUACCCUCUACCUGAAGAGGUAAAGUCAAUAUAACACCUAAUGCAAAGCUUCUACAAGGUUUCAUUUGAUUCAAAAAUCAUUUGUUUUCCUUCAGUCCUUACCUGGCCUCUCCAGGAGUCCAGCAGAUAGCAAAUCUGUGCAGAGUGUAGAAUGCCC